rnacentral:rRNA from 1 species
UGGGGAAUAUUGGACAAUGGGGGGAACCCUGAUCCAGCCAUGCCGCGUGUGUGAAGAAGGCCUUAUGGUUGUAAAGCACUUUAAGCGAGGAGGAGGCUCUCUUGGUUAAUACCCAAGAUGAGUGGACGUUACUCGCAGAAUAAGCACCGGCUAACUCUGUGCCAGCAGCCGCGGUAAUACAGAGGGUGCGAGCGUUAAUCGGAUUUACUGGGCGUAAAGCGUGCGUAGGCGGCUUUUUAAGUCGGAUGUGAAAUCCCCGAGCUUAACUUGGGAAUUGCAUUCGAUACUGGGAAGCUAGAGUAUGGGAGAGGAUGGUAGAAUACCAGGUGUAGCGGUGAAAUGCGUAGAGAUCUGGAGGAAUACCGAUGGCGAAGGCAGCCAUCUGGCCUAAUACUGACGCUGAGGUACGAAAGCAUGGGGAGCAAACAGG